rnacentral:rRNA from 1 species
UACGUAGGGUGCAAGCGUUAAUCGGAAUUACUGGGCGUAAAGCGCACGUAGGCGGCUUAGCAAGUCGGAAGUGAAAUCCCUCGGCUCAACCAAGGAAGUGCUUUCGAAACUGCUGAGCUUGAGUACUUAAGAGGAUCGCGGAAUUCCCGGUGUAGAGGUGAAAUUCGUAGAUAUCGGGAGGAACACCAGUGGCGAAGGCGGCGAUCUGGGAAGAUACUGACGCUGAGGUGCGAAAGCGUGGGGAGCAAACAGG